UCUACGGGAGGCAGCAGUGGGGAAUAUUGGGCAAUGGGCGCAAGCCUGACCCAGCAACGCCGCGUGAAGGAAGAAGGCUUUCGGGUUGUAAACUUCUUUUAAGAGGGAAGAGCAGAAGACGGUACCUCUUGAAUAAGACACGGCUAACUACGUGCCAGCAGCCGCGGUAAUAGGUAGGUGGCAAGCGUUGUCCGGAUUUACUGGGUGUAAAGGGCGUGCAGCCGGGAAGAAAAGUCAGAUGUGAAAUCCCGCGGCUAAACCGCGAAACUGAAUUUGAAACUGUUUUUCUUGUGUACCGGAGGGGUCAUCGGAAUGCCUGGGGUAGCGGUGAAAUG
rnacentral:rRNA from 1 species